rnacentral:piRNA from 1 species
UGAGCCACAUGUACUCACUCAUAAACCUUGCC